GUCUCUUUGUUAUGUAAAGAUAGGGAGUCUGACCUGCCCAGUGACUGGAAAGUUAAACGGCUGCAGUAUACAUGACUGUACAAAGGUAGCGUAAUCAUUUGCCCUUUAAUUGGGGGCCCGUAUGAAUGGUUUGACGAGGGCAUAACUGUCUUUUUGUGAAAUACAUAGAAAUUAUUUUUUAGGUGAAAACUCCUAAGUCUUGUUGGGGGACGAGAAGACCCUAUUGAGCUUUAGUGAUGUUUCUGAUGAUGUCUUAUAGAGUAUUAUAUUGAUAAUUAGAAACGGUUCUUUAGUUGGGGCAACUGAGGGGCAAGCGAAACCCCCUUUAAUAUAAGUGUGGUUGAUAGAUGUUAGAUCCAGUGUGUAUAUACUGAUCUAAAGAAGAAGUUACCAUAGGGAUAACAGCGCGAUUUUUUUGGAGAGUUCUUAUUGAUAAAAAAGUUUGCGACCUCGAUGUUGGACUAAGGUACCCCGAAGGUGUAGCAGCUUUUAGUGGUUAGUCUGUUCGACUAUUAAAAUCUUACG
rnacentral:rRNA from 1 species